rnacentral:misc_RNA from 1 species
UUUCCGUAGGUGAACCUGCGGAAGGAUCAUUACUGAGUGAGGGCCCCUCGGGGUCCAACCUCCCACCCGUGUUUAACGAACCUUGUUGCUUCGGCGGGCCCGCCUCACGGCCGCCGGGGGGCAUCUGCCCCCGGGCCCGCGCCCGCCGAAGCCACCUGUGAACGCUGUCUGAAGUAUGCAGUCUGAGACAAUUAUUAAAUUAAUUAAAACUUUCAACAACGGAUCUCUUGGUUCCGGCAUCGAUGAAGAAUGCAGC